rnacentral:rRNA from 1 species
GACAGAGGUCCCGAGCGUUAGGCGGAAUCACUGGGCUUAAAGCGUGUGUAGGCGGGAUGGUAAGUACCUUGUGAAAUCCCACAGCUUAACUGUGGAAAUGCUUGGUAUACUGCCGUUCUUGAGUCACCUAGGGGCAGCUGGAACAGAUGGUGGAGCGGUGAAAUGCAUAGAUAUCAUCUGGAACGCCAAUGGUGCAGACAAGCUGCUGGGGGUGUACUGACGCUGAGGCACGAAAGCCAGGGGAGCAAACGGG